UGAUUUUUCCAUGAUGAUCAAUGUUCUAAUCCCAGCUCUAUGAGACCCUUUUGAGGUCAGGGAAUUGACUAGAUAACAUUUAUCUGAGUACUUUUCA